CCAUGUGCACAAGUCCUAACAUCCAAGGUGAUGGUAUUUGGAAGUGGGGCUUUGGGGAAGUGAUUAGGUCUCCAAGAGGUCAUGACAAUGGGGCCCUGGUGAUGAAAUUGGGGUCUUUAUGAGAGAGUCUGCUCACUGUCCUUCCCUGCCAUGUGAGGGCCCAGGAAGAGGGUGAGGAGCCACCACAGAAUAUUUAUCCUCUGAAAUGCUGUGAGUUUUUUAAGUGAACACACUGCCGGAGGAGCUGGUUAGGACUCACAGCACUGUGGAGCCCAGUGUACAGAGAGCUGCCCCACACCCCGGCCCUGCACACAAAGCCUCCCGCGCUGCAACACCCCCCAGAAGACUGCUGCUUUGUCACAACCCAUGGGCCAGGACUGGCAUCAUUAUCACCAAUGGCCGGUAGCAGACACCUGUGUUCCCUCCUAUACAGUCUGUGGGGUUGAACAUCUGUCAAGACACACGUGCACCCUUACCAUGUCCUACAGAACCUAACCCUGUGCUUUGCCCUGUUAUCCCUCCCUCCCCAGCCCCUGCCAUUCACUGGUCUUUUACCGUCCCCACCACUGCAUGUCUUCCAGGAGGUCACAUAGUUGAGAUGCACAGAUCUUCCCAGGCUUCCUUCCUUCCUGAGCCGGAAAUUCCUGCGUGACUUCCCCUGUAUGGAGGCACCGCUGAAUCACCUGCUAACCUCCUGAAGACUGUCUUCCAAGUCUUGGCAAUUCUGACAAAAGGCUGCAUAAUUAUGACAAAAGUCAUAAUCCGUAUGCAGACUCCGCAUGGACAUGUUUCCAACUCCUUCAGGAGGUGCCAAAGAGCACAGUCGCUGGAUUGUGCGGCAAGUGUCUUCCCAAGUGGCUGCACCACGUUGCUUUCCAAACCAGCAGCCAGGGAGAGUCCCCUAGGUCCCCCAUCCCCUAUAGGGCUCGCUGUGCUCAGCAUUCGGACAUUUGCCCCCAUGCUAGAUACUCUUAAGUUUAUGUCAUCUCUUUGAACUUAUGAAGCUUAUUACUGCUCCUGGGCAUGGAAAAUUUGUACAGAGGAAUGGAUGCGCUUUGGAGAGCCCGGGUUUAACUUGGAGCACUACCAUUCAUCGGCUCUACCAUGCUGAACCAUCAGAUUUCGUGAGUAACGAUCCUUUCACGUGCAAACAUGAAGGUUGCAGUUUCCAUCUCACUAUCCUUGUCACUUUGCUAGGACUAUCGAUGGAGAUAAAAGCAUAGUGUGAACUCUUCAGAGUCACCUGCACAUCAGAGGAUAAAGAGUAGGGACGAUGAGGAACAUAAGGAGUGGUCACUUCACUUGUAGUUUCAAGGUCAAAG